GCCUCCGUAGCGCAGUGGUAGCGCUAUAGCUUACCAUGCAAAGGGGCCCGGGUUCGAUUCCCGGCAGGGGGCU